rnacentral:rRNA from 1 species
AACGCGAAGAACCUUACCAGGGUUUGACAUGCAUUUGCACCAGCCAGAGAUGGCUGUCCCUUCGGGGCGGAUGCACAGGUGGUGCAUGGCUGUCGUCAGCUCGUGUCGUGAGAUGUUGGGUUAAGUCCCGCAACGAGCGCAACCCUUGUCUCAUGUUGCCAGCGCGUUAUGGCGGGGACUCGUGAGAGACUGCCGGGGUCAACUCGGAGGAAGGUGGGGAUGACGUCAAGUCAUCAUGCCCCUUAUGUCCAGGGCUUCACACAUGCUACAAUGGCCGGUACAAAGGGCUGCGAUGCCGUGAGGUUAAGCGAAUCCUUUAAAAGCCGGUCUCAGUUCGGAUCGGGGUCUGCAACUCGACCCCGUGAAGUCGGAGUCGCUAGUAAUCGCAGAUCAGCAACGCUGCGGUGAAUACGUUCCCGGGCCUUGUACACACCGUACGUC